rnacentral:rRNA from 1 species
CCUACGGGAGGCAGCAGUGAGGAAUAUUGGUCAAUGGGCGCGAGCCUGAACCAGCCAAGUCGCGUGAGGGAAGACGGUCCUAUGGAUUGUAAACCUCUUUUGUCGGGGAGCAAAAGACGCCACGCGUGGCGUUCCGAGAGUACCCGAAGAAAAAGCAUCGGCUAACUCCGUGCCAGCAGCCGCGGUAAUACGGAGGAUUCAAGCGUUAUCCGGAUUUAUUGGGUUUAAAGGGUGCGUAGGCGGUCGGGUAAGUUAGAGGUGAAAUCCCGAGGCUCAACCUCGGAAUUGCGUGUGAUACGGAUCGGCUAGAGAGUAGUGGAGGGAGGCGGAAGGGAUGGGGUGGCGGUGAAAGGAUUAG